AGCGAACGCUGGCGGCAGGCCUAACACAUGCAAGUCGAACGAACCCUUCGGGGUUAGUGGCGGACGGGUGAGUAACACGUGGGAGCGUGCCUUUAGGUUCGGAAUAACUCAGGGAAACUUGUGCUAAUACCGAAUGUGCCCUUCGGGGGAAAGAUUUAUCGCCUUUAGAGCGGCCCGCGUCUGAUUAGCUAGUUGGUGAGGUAAUGGCUCACCAAGGCUACGAUCAGUAGCUGGUCUGAGAGGAUGACCAGCCACAUUGGGACUGAGACACGGCCCAAACUCCUACGGGAGGCAGCAGUGGGGAAUCUUGCGCAAUGGGCGAAAGCCUGACGCAGCCAUGCCGCGUGGAUGAUGAAGGUCUUAGGAUUGUAAAAUCCUCUCACCGGUGAAGAUAAUGACUGUAGCCGGAGAAGAAGCCCCGGCUAACUUCGUGCCAGCCGCCGCAGUAACAC
rnacentral:rRNA from 1 species